rnacentral:rRNA from 1 species
GACGAACGCUGGCGGCGUGCUUAACACAUGCAAGUCGAACGGAAAGGCCCUGCUUUCCGUGUACUCGAGUGGCGAACGGGUGGGUAACACGUGGGUGAUCUGCCCUGCACUUCGGCCUAAGUCUGGGAAACUGGGGGGAAUACCGGACAGAUGCCAUAUUGAGCGGGAUGGUUGGAAAGUUUUUUCGGUGUAUGAUGAGCUCGCUGCAUAUCAGCUUGUCGGUGUGGUAAUGGCCUACCGAGGCGGCGUCGGGUAGCCGGCCGGAGUGGGUGGCCGGCGACACUGGGACUGAGGUAAGGCACAGACACCGACGGGGGGGAGCAGGGCGGAAGCGUGAAGAAGGAGCGCCAGCCUAGUGCAGCGGCUCCGCGUGGGGGAGGACUGCCUUCGGGUUGAAAACUAAUUUCGCAAGGGACGAAGCUUGUUGUGACGGUACCUAGAGAAGAAGCACCGGCUAACUACGUG